UACGUAGGUCCCGAGCGUUGUCCGGAUUUAUUGGGCGUAAAGCGAGCGCAGGUGGUUUAUUAAGUCUGGUGUAAAAGGCAGUGGCUCAACCAUUGUAUGCAUUGGAAACUGGUAGACUUGAGUGCAGGAGAGGAGAGUGGAAUUUCAUGUGUAGCGGUGAAAUGCGUAGAUAUAUGGAGGAACACCGGUGGCGAAAGCGGCUCUCUGGCCUGAAACUGACACUGAGGCUCGAAAGCGUGGGGAGCAAACAGG
rnacentral:rRNA from 1 species